rnacentral:rRNA from 1 species
GGGGAGUACGCCGGCAACGGUGAAACUCAAAGGAAUUGACGGGGGCCCGCACAAGCGGAGGAACAUGUGGUUUAAUUCGAUGAUACGCGAGGAACCUUACCCGGGCUUGAACUGUAGGCGAACGAUCCAGAGAUGGUGAGGCCCUUCGGGGCGCCUAUGGAGGUGCUGCAUGGUUGUCGUCAGCUCGUGCCGUGAGGUGUCGGCUUAAGUGCCAUAACGAGCGCAACCCCUCUCUUCAGUUGCCAUCAGGUUAUGCUGGGCACUCUGGAGACACUGCCACCGUAAGGUGUGAGGAAGGUGGGGAUGACGUCAAAUCAGCACGGCCCUUACGUCCGGGGCUACACACGUGUUACAAUGGGUGGUACAGAGAGUUGGGUGUACGCAAGUGCAUUCUAAUCAAGAAAGCCAGCCCC